rnacentral:lncRNA from 1 species
CUGCCACCUCAGGGAGCUAACUGCCAAGUGGAGUCGCAACCUGACAUCUGGGGCAUGUGUCAAACCACAACAGAGCCCGUCUCCCCUUUCAUCAAGUGCGGAGGGGGGUGCUGCUGGAGCCCUUGGAGGGAGGGACAGCUCUCACUUCAAAGGCCUCCUCAUGGAGAACUCCAGCCACCACCUUCCAGGUUUGCUUUUGGCUUCAUUUCUUGGACUCACUUGGCUCCAGGGACUGAGGUUUUACUUCUCUGCAGUGAGAAGAUACUGCUGCUUUUUUCCACUGGAAAACAUAAAUACUACCUUCACUAAAUGGUGCAUUGCACUUUUCCAAAUUAUUUUACAUCUACUGAUUAAUCCCCACGAUGACCCCAUGAAGUGCCUUUGUGUGCUGUCGUCCCCAUAUUACAGACGGGAAAAUUGAGCACAGGGCUUGUAGGGGGCUGUCCCGUGCACACAGAGGCUUCUCUGCCUCGUUUCUGGUCUUGCCUGCCUCCCUUGGGGAGGGAAAGUCACAUGACACAGGGAGUUGCUCCCAGAGCUCAGAACCUAAAUCUCAGUAAGCCAGAACCCACCUAACCAACUCUUCCAUCAUCCUGAGUCUGCCACCUUCCUCUGUCUUCUCCAUGAAGGAGACAGGCCCAGGAUGCACAGAAAGAAACUCAGAUUUGAGGUUUCCUCCAGGGAGGUAGCUCUCAAAUACAUCCUCAGGCCAGCCCAGCCCCUCCUCCUGUGGUCAGAGUUGCUGAGGUUCAGAGUUAACAUUCAAGGGACAUUUUACCCAAAGCCAUCAACAGUGAUGGGAAUGCUGGUCUUUCAGAAAAAUUGUCAGCCACGGGCUGGGAAAGGCAAGCGAUUUCAGGUGCCUCCUUUGGCUCCCCAGGGGAAGAGCCCACUGCCCCAGACCUCUGGCCAGCCAAGGUCUCGUGGCCAGCAGUUCCAAGGCUCAGCGAUAAGGCUGCUGCAGAGGAGAUACCAAGGAAGGCCGUCCCGCCACACUGCGCAGGACGGGCCAGUGGCUGCAGUGCCUUCUUCUGAACCGCUGCUCCUGUCUGCUCCCACUGUCUCCUCCAUCCUCAGAGACCUCAUGUCUCUCCGGGAAGGAGGGAGGGUGGCAGAGUCUCUGCCCGCAGGACCGGUGGAAAAGGAACAAAGAAGCUGCAUGAAAAAGGAAGACGUGAGCUGUAUCAUUCCGAGAGAAGCGAAACAGGGAGAGGGGCCGCCCUGGCUUCCCAGAGGACCAGGUGGGAAAGGAUUCCUCCAGGGCUGUGCCGCCUGGGAAGACCAAUCGCCCGGGGCCUGGAUCCCGACAGCAGUCCCACAGCGCCACCUAGUGUCUUCCCGGGAUAACGUGCAUCCCGUCAUCCUCCAGAGCUGGGCCCUGGACCGGAACCCAGAGCACCUCCUACCGGCCAGAUGAAAAUCUGGUUAUCCACAAACGAAUGAAGAGCACUAGAAAUGGCAUGUAUGGGUAUGUGUGUAUAUAUCUAUAUAUUCUUACUGCUUAAAUAUAUUUAAAAGAUAAUUGUUGGGAGUGAAAAAUGGUAUAGACACUCUAAGAGAGUUUGGUAGUUUGUUAUUAAACUAAAUAUAUUCUCACCACACUAUCCAGCAAUCAUGUUCCUAGGUAUUUACCUAAGUAGUUGAAGUUUAUGUCCACACAAAAAUGUGGAUAUGAAUGUUAAUAUGGGAAUCCUUGAUUGGAAGCAAUUAAGAUGUCUUUAGGGCUUCCCUCGGAGAAGGCGAUGGCACCCCACUCCAGUACUCUUGCCUGGAAAAUCCCAUAGAUGGAGGAGCCUGGUGGGCUGCAGUCCAUGGGGUUGCGGAGAGUCGGACAUGACUGAGCGACUUCACUUUCACUUUUCACUUUCAUGCAUUAGAGAAGGAAAUGGCAACCCACUCCAGUGUUCUUGCCUGGAGAAUCCCAGGGACGGGGGAGCCUGGUGGGCUGCCAUCUAUGGGGUCCCACAGAGUCGGACACGACUGAGGUGACUUAGCAGCAGCAGCAGCAGCAGCAGCAGGGCUUCCCCGGUGGCUUAGAGGGUAAA